UGGGGAAUAUUGCACAAUGGGCGCAAGCCUGAUGCAGCCAUGCCGCGUGUAUGAAGAAGGCCUUCGGGUUGUAAAGUACUUUCAGUCGGGAGGAAGGUGGUAAGGUUAAUAACCUUAUCAAUUGACGUUACCGACAGAAGAAGCACCGGCUAACUCCGUGCCAGCAGCCGCGGUAAUACGGAGGGUGCAAGCGUUAAUCGGAAUUACUGGGCGUAAAGCGCACGCAGGCGGUUGAUUGAGUCAGAUGUGAAAUCCCCGGGCUUAACCCGGGAAUUGCAUCUGAUACUGGUCAGCUAGAGUCUUGUAGAGGGGGGUAGAAUUCCAUGUGUAGCGGUGAAAUGCGUAGAGAUUUGGAGGAAUACCGGUGGCGAAGGCGGCCCCCUGGACAAAGACUGACGCUGAGGUGCGAAAGCGUGGGGAGCAAACAGG
rnacentral:rRNA from 1 species